rnacentral:rRNA from 1 species
ACGAACGCUGGCGGCGUGCUUAACACAUGCAAGUCGAGCGGAAAGGCCCUUCGGGGUACUCGAGCGGCGAACGGGUGAGUAACACGUGGGUAACCUGCCCCAGACUUUGGGAUAACCCUCGGAAACGGGGGCUAAUACCGGAUACGACACAGCUUCGCAUGGGGUCUGUGUGGAAAGUUUUUCGGUUUGGGAUGGGCUCGCGGCCUAUCAGCUUGUUGGUGGGGUGAUGGCCUACCAAGGCGACGACGGGUAGCCGGCCUGAGAGGGCGACCGGCCACACUGGGACUGAGACACGGCCCAGACUCCUACGGGAGGCAGCAGUGGGGAAUAUUGCACAAUGGGCGGAAGCCUGAUGCAGCGACGCCGCGUGAGGGAUGACGGCCUUCGGGUUGUAAACCUCUUUCAGCAGGGACGAAGCGUAAGUGACGGUACCUGCAGAAGAAGCGCCGGCCAACUACGUG